rnacentral:rRNA from 1 species
UGGGGAAUAUUGCACAAUGGGCGCAAGCCUGAUGCAGCCAUGCCGCGUGUAUGAAGAAGGCCUUCGGGUUGUAAAGUACUUUCAGCGGGGAGGAAGGGAGUAAAGUUAAUACCUUUGCUCAUUGACGUUACCCGCAGAAGAAGCACCGGCUAACUCCGUGCCAGCAGCCGCGGUAAUACGGAGGGUGCAAGCGUUAAUCGGAAUUACUGGGCGUAAAGCGCACGCAGGCGGUUUGUUAAGUCAGAUGUGAAAUCCCCGGGCUCAACCUGGGAACUGCAUCUGAUACUGGCAAGCUUGAGUGUCGUAGAGGGGGGUAGAAUUCCAGAUGUAGCGGUGAAAUGCGUAGAGAUCUGGAGGAAUACCGGUGGCGAAGGCGGCCCCCUGGACGAAGACUGACGCUCAGGUGCGAAAGCGUGGGGAGCAAACAGG